rnacentral:rRNA from 1 species
GGAUUGAACGCUGGCGGCAGGCCUAACACAUGCAAGUCGAGCGGUAGAGAGGUGCUUGCACCUCUUGAGAGCGGCGGACGGGUGAGUAAUGCCUAGGAAUCUGCCUAGUGGUGGGGGAUAACGUUCGGAAACGGACGCUAAUACCGCAUACGUCCUACGGGAGAAAGCGGGGGACCUUCGGGCCUCGCGCCAUUAGAUGAGCCUAGGUCGAUUAGCUAGUUGGUGAGGUAAUGGCUCACCAAGGCGACGAUCCGUAACUGGUCUGAGAGGAUGAUCAGUCACACUGGAACUGAGACACGGUCCAGACUCCUACGGGAGCAGCAGUGGGAAUAUUGGACAAUGGGCGAAAGCCUGAUCCAGCCGUGCCGCGUGUGGUGAAGAAGGUCUUGGAUUGUAAAGCUACUUUAAGUGGAAGGAAGGUUGUAACGUUAAUACCGUUGCUAACUUUGACGUUACCGACAGAAUAACGC